UUUUUUUUUUUACCCAUCCCUUUGCCAGGGAGAGUGAAGAGGCGGCAAGAUACUCUGACCGUUACUCCUGUAACAACUGGCGCUCACGUUACUGGAAAACUUGUGCGGGAGCUGGGGGAAUAUAAAAGGCACAUUUAUAAACACCAAUGAUAGCUACAGUUACGUCACGGAAUGUUCAGUUGAAAGCGUGGGAAAUCUCGUGUAACAACAAAUAAUGUUUGAGCACAGUUGUGUCAUAAACAACUGUCCAGGCAGACAUGUCAAUUGUGUAGAGUGCCAGUUCACGGCACAUUUACAUCGAUGAAAGGGAGGGAGAGCCAUCAAUACUGCCAUAUGGCCUCACACACACAUGAACACACACUCUCUCUCUUGCUUUGGCCGGUUUAUGAUUAGAUUUUUCCCUCCCUCACUAGCCAGCAUAGCGCAACAGACACAUCAUUUGCCGGUGCCGACAUGGGCAGACGGCAGACACAGUAGACAUAUUUAGUCGUGGUAUUUAUAUUUUUAUCAAAAACCAACAUGGGUUAAUUAUUUGAGGACAUAUUCAACCAUAUAUUGCAAUUUUUUUUCAUUCCAAAGUGAAAAACUCAUAUAAGAAUCGUACUACUUUUUUUUUUUAACUAAAAAUUGCCAUAACAUGUGCAAUCCAUACAGAGGGUAAAUACGGUACAAAAUAAUCUAGAUUUCUCUAUCUUUAAAUUUAAUUUGAAUGUAUUAAACACAUAAAUCUUCCGGAAGAAAUUCUCUAAAUGAUGGUGGAAACUGCAUUAAAAUCCAUUGGGUAGUUUAUAAGAAGUAAGCGAACAAACAGACACAGAUAGCGACUUUGUUUUAUACUAUUUAGAGAUGAGCAAAAAUUAGAAUGUAUUACAAAAUAAAUCUACUAUUCACAGGAACAUGCAAACAAUAAGUUUAGAAAGCUAGAUUUUAACUUUUUUUCAGAGACAAUUUCCACAAGAUUAAAGUGGCACAUUACAACUAUGUAUUUAAACUAAAUGUUCAACUAAAAAUUAAAGUGCACAAAAAAAUGCAACUCCGGAAAAGGCUGCUAAAUAUUAAAGUUUCAUGAGUUUUAGCACCAUUACUGCUUAUUUUAUUAUUUUUUUUUGGUGACUUCUGCGACCAGCCCUUCAGUUUUGUUACUAUUCUGUGACCUGCAGACAUCCUGUAAUACAGUAGAACCCGUUUAUAGUGAACCCGCCUAUAAUGAAUUCCCGUUUAUUGUGAAUUUCCGUCUCAGUCCCGGCAAAAUGAUGUGAGGUUAUGUAUUAAUUUAUUGGAUAUAGCGCACAACUUUUGUCAAUGUUGAUACGUUUUUCCGUGUACCACGAACAAAUUUUGCCGACAUAAUGCACAUUUAUCUCAAAUAUUUUCAUAUAAUUACAAGUUUUUUCACAAAACGUCUAUUCUGGAUCACAUUGAAGUUUUUCUCGGCAAUACGCUACUCGAUUGUCCACUGUUCAAAUUAUAAACAAGUCGUAUUCGAGUGGCCUCGGUAGGCUACGUGUAGCCAUAAAUGGUGAUCAGUUUGGUGAAAAUAAAAAAUAUUUUUCCCUGCAUAAUUAAAGAAUGGACGAACGCGUGUACAUUUAAUAUGUUAUCAAAAUUAAACAUAAAUUACCACCACACAAAUACGUAUGUACAUUAUAGCAGCAAAUUCAAUAUUUUUACGUCUCAUUUUUAUCGUUCACGUUUCGGACAUUUUGAUCGAGUAAGGUUCGUAAGACUACCACUAGAUAGAACUCUGUGGACUAAAUUUUUCCAUAGAAAGUGAGAAUAUUUCGUUCCAAAUUUAGCAACUGUGAUACUAAAUGAUACGUAGUGAUCUUUGAUGUGCCAGACUCGUUAUUUUUCGUUUAUUUACUUUUGACGGUAAAAAGAAUUUCGUGUUAUUAAGCUGCAAAUGUGCUUCAAUAAGAAAUACGUACAUAAAAAUGGGUGAAAAACGCGGUAAAAAACGUAAGGCAUUAUCUGUGCGAGAUAACUGGACAUUAUUGAAAAGAUAGACUCCAACCCCACUGUCCCGCACGUGUUAAUAGCAAAGGAACUGGGAAUUGCAACAUCCACAUUAAGUACAAUACUAAACAAGCUGAACAAUCUUCGGUAAAUAUGUAUUGUACGGAUUAGCGCCAAAAAAAAUCGUACAAAUAUGAAAUAACUUUCAUUAUAUGCUAUCUUACGUCCUCUCUUCAGAACCGCCUGCGGAGAUAAAAAAUUCCAAUUACUUUAGGAGAUAUCGAAUUUUAUAAUCUUCAUUUUUUGGCGAUUUUUUUUAAAAAAAAAUUUAAAAAUCCGAAAAUACCUUUAUUCUGUGCUCUUAAACUUCCUCUUUUCAUUAAACCCGGCUGAGAUAAUAAAUUCCAAAUACUUUUGGAGAUAUCGAAUUUUUUAAUUUUCAUCCUGUGCACUCGUGCGGCGAUAACGGUUGCUUGUUUACAAGUAUCAUUUUUUUUUUUGCGAUGUUCCCGAACGGAGAAACCUAAGAUGCACAUAAAGUUCUGCCAUUCCCGAUUACACCCGAACAAUUCACCUUCGGCCAACCUCGGGUUUAUUUAUUAAUAUUUCUCUGUUUAUUUUAAUGUAGCUAUACUAACCUAACUAACCAUCCAAAUGGUUUUAAAGUUUUUUUUUUAAUGUAGCUAACCUAUCCGACCACUUUUAAUAUUUCAAUUCAUUUUUCCUGCGCAAAAAUAAAUAAAUCCCGAGGUUGGCCGAAGGUGAAUAUUCGGGUGUAAUCGGGAAUGGCAGAACUUUAUGUGGAUCUUAGGACUCUCACGCGAACGAAUACAUCAUGUAAAAAGAAACUUACGUGAGUUUAUUCUGUUCAUCCUUUUUCCCGGUUUGUUAGGUCAGGUCAGCUACAUUAUAAAUACUUUAAAACUAAACAACCAAUAAAAUUAAUUUUAUUAUUUUUAAUGUCUGUUCAGUUUCAAAGUAUUUAUAAUGUAGCUGACCUGACCUAAUCUACCUUUGUCCCAUUUUGUUAGGUCAGGUCAGUUACAUUAUAAAUACUUAAAACUAUACAACAUGUAAAAUAAAUUGAUAUUAUUUUUAAUUUCGGUUUAUUUUGAAGUAUUUAUAAUGUAACUAACCUUACCUAAUGGAAAAUUUCUGUUAUUUAGACAUUCACGCGCACACGGCAAAAUAUAAAAUGGCGACGGUCAAAUUAUUACACACGUCUGGUAUAGCAAAAUAAGAACGGCCAUAUCUCCAAAAGUAUUUGGAAUUUUUUAUCUCCGCAGGCGGUUCUGAAAAGAGGACGUAAGAUAGCAUAUAAUGAAAGUUAUUUCAUAUUUGUACGAUUUUUUUUGGCGCUAAUCCGUACAAUACAUAUUUACCCAAUCUUCUUUAUCAAGCUGCGAAAACGUCACAGAGUAUUAAAUGCCUGAAAAAAGGAUAAUACGCCGAUGUCCAAGAACCAUUAGGUAAAACUGAUAGCACGGAUCACUAACCCGAUAAGCUUUUACAAGAGUGAAACUAAGAGCAUUCACUCACUUGUAGGCAAAACUGUGAAUCUCGAUGUCGUCAGCGUCGGGAAUCAUGGUGACCUUCAACGGUUCGCUCUGGCCUGGCUUGUACUGGUACAUGUAGCCGGCGUCGUACCCUCCGAGAGACAACCAGACGACGUCGGCAUCCAGCAGGUUCAGGGGAGUCAGGCGGUACGACUCCGCGCUUCUGGGCUCGCUCGGCACCGACAUCUCCAGCACGUGUCCCGACGAGCAGCUGACCAGGAACCUGCCUUUCUGGAAGGUAAAGGAUAUUUUUUUACAGCAACUAUUAACCAAGUGUUGUUCUACUGCAGUUAGGGGUGUAAAUCUGCAGGAUGCCCAUAUGUUGGCCUAUAUGCACGCAAUACGCACAAAACUUUAAAAUAUAGAAAGUUUGUUUACAUCUAUCAACCCCAUUUCACAGACACGAUUUUGAAAGCUCAAGAGGGCUCCCUCAGUGAGGGACUUCUUGAUUUCAGCCCCCCCCCCCCCCCUUCUCCCCAAUACCCCGGAUUUACACCCAUGACUAUAGUAUUAUUUCUUCUUUUUUAACCUGAUACAUAUAUAUCUAUUUAUUUAGUGGUAUAAAUAACUAGCUUACAUAAUUUAGUAUAUUCCUGUUAAGAAGUUUCACAACCACAAGGUACUUAAAAAUUUAUACACAAUAACAGGGUAACCCUUUUAAAAGGGCAUGUAAAAUUGUAUGUAUAUAUAAGCAGGUCGAGUGAUAAUUUUUUUUUUAAAUUUUUGAUACAACAAUUAAGUGGAAUUUUUUGAAAGUUUAUUAUUCCUACACUAAUUCUUUUAUGAGGGACUAUACAUGAGUUUUACUAAAUUCAAUAUUUCUUCUUAAACAUAAAUUAAAAUUCUUAAUGUAUAAGAAGCUGUAUUAUUUGUAAGUAACUUUAGAACAUUAACACUUUUAAGUUUUAAUCAUAAAAUGUUAAAAAAUGAAACAAAAUCACACAUAUUAAUAACUACACACCAUAAUACAGAAUAAUAUAACUAGGUAGGUACCUGUAACACCUAUUAUAAACUUUACAAACAAUAAAUGAAACAAAGUUAGCAAAAGAAUCAACCUUCAGUGCCUCUAGUGUGUUCACUUGCAUUUAGGGUUACCAGAUGUCCGGCAAAAGGAGGACAUGUCCUCCUUUUUAUGUACUUUUUUGCGUCCGGCCGGAUUUCCCUUAAUGCUCCAAAAUGUCCGGCUUUUUUAUAAAGUGAGAUAAUUCUUGCAGUUACACUCUGAGUAAUGCGCUGUCCGCAGAGUCACCCCACUAGUAAGUAGUUCUAUGACAGCUUGACAGGUAGCACCACAUGCAGAAGCACGUGUUUUUAAUAUGCUGUAUAUGCAUAGUUUGUUUGAUUCUUUAUACUGAAACUGUAUUAAAUGCCAAAACAUUGUAAAAUAUCGUACUCCAUGUUAAUUAAUUCAUGGCUUUUUUAAAAAAAAUAUAUCGUCCUCCUUUUUAGUCAAAUGUCCUCCUUUUGCGAGGUGAAUGUCCUCCUUUUUUGUUAUCCGUGUCUGGUAACCCUACUUGCAUUACAAUACUUUGCAACGUAUCCUGUUUAAAUGUUUUCAGUCCAGUGUUGAGUGAGCUCUAGCAUUUACAAACACAGACAUUACACCAACCUAUGAAUUCACUGAAUUCACUUUUUUUUUUCCCUCCCAUUCUAAUUCCAAUACUUUUAUCCAUACUGACAUAUUUUCUACUGACAUGGAUAGAGAUGGGACGUGGGAACUUUCCCAUUGAGUGUAAAAAAUAUAUAUUUUCCCAAAAACUAAAUUCCUACACUCAAGAUAUGGGUUAUGUUUUUUUUUUAUAAAUUGUUUACUAUGUAAACAAGAUAACAUUCUUAUUUUUAUGAAAAAAAUAAUUUUAAAACACAAAAAUCAUUAAAUCAUACAGAUGUACAGUAGCCUGUACAGUGAAUAAAGUUGCUUAUGCAGUGCUUUAAGUCAAUAUAUUGCAUUGAUUUUUUUUCUUCUAAUAUUUUGUCACAAUCUGAAUUUUAAAAUCAAUUAAAAAUUUACAAAAUUAAUUUUAUAGAUAUUACUAUUAAAAACUAUUUAGAAAAACUUUUUCUAUUACAGUUAUCAUUCUAUGACAAACAUUUCCAAAAUAUCAUAGGCAUUAUAGCUACCGUCAGUUGGGGUAACAUUGGCCCUUUGAGGGUAACUUUGGCCCAAGACAAAAAACAUGUUAAACCAUGUUACAAUACAUAUGUAUCAUCACAUCUAAUAAAUAUUUUGAAGAGUUGUAACAUGGUUUAACAUGUUUUUUGUCUUGGGCCAAAGUUACCCUCAAAGGGCCAAUGUUACCCCAACUGACAGUAUGUAUUAGAAACUAUGGUAUGCCGUUUAAAUGUAUUGAAUUAAAAUGCAGUUAAAAUGUACAGAAUUAAUACAGUGUAGAAAAAGAAAUCCUGUAUUGUCCAGAGAUUGGAAUUUUAUUGUAAAAAUCCUGUAAGGGGGGAGGAGGGGGUAGAUUAACCCAAAUAAAAAAAAUAUUUCAAGUAAUAAAUCCAUUAAUAGUCUCAGCACAUAAAGAUGAAAGUAUUACACCGAAGUAUGACCUAGCGCAAGUUUACUAAAGUUAAGAGGCGUGGAGAGUAAGUAUACACAUUUCGGAGGAUUGCAGGCUACCAGCACUACUUUUGAGAGGUGUCGAAAAUUUAUGAAACCUACAUGAAUUUCAGUGUAUAGGUUGUUACGAAGUUUCGCACUGCGUAACUAAACGACUACCAGACAGCGCCCCUGGCUAUCUGAUGGAUACCACCCGCAGCACAGGGGCGCGCAAUGUUCGAUUCCUGUGCGCCGGACAGCAAUGCAUCGGGGCCGCUCGGGCCGCUUCGACUCCGCCCGGCUUCGCGGGCUUCGUCCGGAACAACCAACGAUGACGUACUUCCGCCGGCGGGUAUCCAGACUGUUCCUCGGUCGGGCCCCGGCGGACUAUAUAAACCGGCCCAGCCAACGCUUCUGCAGGCAGUCUCCGACUGGCCCAGCAGCAUGAACCUGCAGUGACGACGAUCUACACCACCGGCCUCCUCCGUCACGCUGCCCGACGACGUGCCGACCGCUUCAGGAAGAAAACGGUAAGAGCCGUCGUCAGAAUCCAAGUCCGUAAGGGACUCUGAAAAAUUUUCAACCCAGUAGAAAUAUUACAAGUCCACGAGGGACUUAGAAUAAAUUCAAGCCGAAUUAGUUUGAACUUAGAAUUUCUGCAGAGUGAGGAAACAGAAAAUUUGCCUCAUCUGUAGAAUGAAGGUAGCUGUCUCGUGAAGGUUACGGGAUAAGUAAAUGUUUGACUGGUGUUGAAAGUAAAACGGCAGUGGGGCAGUGUGGCAAGAGACGGAGGAGAGGUCGAGUACCGCAUAACGUAAAGUGUACCAACUUGCAAUACGUUGAGGCUUACCGUAACGUAACCAACGUAGUUUUACGUGACAGAUUCGACUGAAAUGUUAUAAGUUCCCGGACUACACCAUCAAUGUAACGAGCACUCCUGUGUGAACUUCAGUACGCAGCUACUUCGUAGAACGAGUGACGAGGCGAGUAAAAAUAAAGACUGCUCGCCGCAAUAUUGGCGGGGCACCACGGCAUACCGCUGUCAGUAAUCAGGAGACUUUUGAACACGACUCGCUGACUAGAAGUGUGUGUAAGAACGUAAACAUUUUAUGUGUCAUAAAUUUGGUAUUGAGACUUACACCAGAAACACUGUUUAAUAACUUUAAAGAAUCAGACCACGAUGAGAGAGAAUGUAUUUCAAGUUUAAUCGAUAUUUCUUUAUUAUCUGGGUAAACUAGUUACAGAUAAUAUUUAACUGUACUAUAAACGAUUUUAUGUCAGUCUGCUUGAUUAUAUUCUUUAACUUUUCCUAUUCUCUAACUAUAAUUUGAUAUGUUUGGCAAAUGUUAAAUUCAUGUUAGUACACUAAUUUAAAGUAAUAUUGAAUGUGCCAAAAACCAAAUGAUUUGAUGUUCGUAUUUUCUGCUAAUAUAAUUUGCUGUUUGCUUUAUAAUAAGGCGUUAAUUUAAUGUGUGUGAAAUAUAUAUGUGAUCCAAUAUUGUUAAUUAUAUUUUUCUGUUCACAGACAUCGUGGGCAAUUGCUGUAAUCGUCAAAAUAAGAAAUCAGAAGGUUGUCAUAUCUGAGCAUGCGUGUAUUGAAGGAUGUGAUGUUGUUUUUACAAGUUUUGUUAAUAAAAGCACUUUUGUUUCACGAA